GGUGGUGUGCAUACGAGCGCACCCUCAUCAUUAGUUACUAACAGGUCAUGCUGAGGACUCUAGUGAGACUGCCAUCGUAAGAUGCGAGGAAGGUGGGGAUGACGUCAAAUCAGCACGGCCCUUACGUCCGGGGCGACACACGUGUUACAAUGGGUGGUACAAAGGGCAGCUACCUGGCGACGGGAUGCUAAUCUCCAAAACCACUCUCAGUUCGGAUCGGAGUCUGCAACUCGACUCCGUGAAGCUGGAUUCGCUAGUAAUCGCGCAUCAGCCACGGCGCGGUGAAUACGU
rnacentral:rRNA from 1 species